GUGAGGCAGAAGGCAAACGGGAGGAAGUGGAGGGACUGAUCUUUUGAAGUACUUCAACAAUGACAAAAAGAGAAGCAGAGGAGCUGAUAGAAAUUUAUAUUGAUGGAACAGAGAAAACAGAAUGCACAGAAGAAAGCAUUGUAGAACAGACCUAUACCCCAGCUGAAUGUGUAAGCCAAGCCAUAGACAUCAAUGAGCCAAUAGGCAAUUCAAAGAAACUACUAGAACCAAGACUACAGUGUUCUUUGGAUGCUCAUGACAUUUGUCUACAAGAUAUUCAUCUGGAUCCAGAACGAAGUUUAUUUGACCAAGGAGUAAAGACAGAUGGAACUGUACAACUUAGUGUACAGGUAAUUUCUUACCAAGGAAUUGAACCAAAGCUCAACAUCCUUGAAAUUGUUAAACCUGCGGAAACAGUUGAAGUAGUCAUUGAUCCAGAUGCUCAUCAUGCUGAAGCAGAAGCACAUCUUGUUGAAGAAGCUCAAGUGAUAACUCUUGAUGGCACAAAACACAUUACAACCAUUUCAGAUGAAACCUCAGAACAAGUGACAAGAUGGGCUGCUGCACUAGAAGGUUAUAGGAAAGAGCAAGAACGCCUUGGGAUACCAUAUGAUCCUAUACAGUGGUCUACAGACCAAGUCUUGCAUUGGGUAGUUUGGAUCAUGAAGGAAUUCAGCAUGACUGAUAUAGACCUCAGCACACUCAACAUUUCAGGACAAGAAUUAUGUAGUCUCAACCAAGAAGAUUUUUUUCAGUGGGUCCCUCGGGGAGAAAUUCUGUGGAGUCAUCUGGAGCUUCUUCGAAAAUAUGUAUUGGCAAGCCAGGAACAACAGAUGAAUGAGAUAGUUACAAUUGAUAAACCUGUCCAAAUUAUUCCAGCAUCAGUUCAGUCUGCAACACCAACUACCAUUAAAGGUAUAAACAGCAGUGCAAAGGCAGCUAAAGGACAAAGAGCUCCAAGGAUUUCAGGAGAAGAUAGAAGUUCACCUGGGAACAGAACAGGAAACAAUGGCCAAAUUCAACUGUGGCAGUUUUUGCUAGAACUUCUUACUGACAAGGAUGCUCGAGACUGCAUUUCUUCGGUUGGUGAUAAAGGCGAGUUUAAACUAAAUCAGCCUGAACUGGUUGCACAAAAAUGGGGACAAUGUAAAAAUAAACCUACAAUGAACUAUGAGAAGAAACUCAGUGCAUUAAGGUAUUAUUAUGAUGGACACAUGAUUUGUAAAGUUCAGGGCAAGAGAUUUGUGUACAAGUUUGUCUGUGACUUGAAGACUCUUGUUGGAUACAGUGCGGCAGAGUUGAACCAUUUGGUCACAGAGUGUGAACAGCAGAAACUUGCAAAGAUGCAGCUCCAUGGAAUCGCCCACCCUGUCACGGAAGUAGCCCUGGCUGCAGCUUCUCUGUAAGCAGAAAAGGAUAACUGAGCCCAGGACCUGCUGGGAUUUCAAGGUCUUUCUUA